rnacentral:rRNA from 1 species
UACGUAGGGUGCAAGCGUUGUCCGGAAUUAUUGGGCGUAAAGAGCUCGUAGGCGGUUUGUCGCGUCUGCUGUGAAAACCUGCGGCUCAACCGUGUGGUCUGCAGUCGAUACGGGCAGGCUAGAGUUCGGUAGGGGAGACUGGAAUUCCUGGUGUAGCGGUGAAAUGCGCAGAUAUCAGGAAGAACACCCGUGGCGAAGGCGGCUCUCUGGGACGGUACUGACGCUGAGACGCGAAAGCGUGGGGAGCAAACAGG